GUCGCUAUGGCUAAUACACAGAAAGUAAUUUUGGCCGAAGCUAAGCCAACAGUUACAUAAAUCUGAAAAUCAGGCCAUAUUCUAGUGCUGUAUCCAGCUUAUAUGAGAAGCUAUAGAGUUGUUAGGUUUAGAUAUGGGAAGGAGCCAGAUUGUUCGAAGUCAGGAAAGAGCUUAGGAAAAGGCUAGAAUCCAGAAAGAGCACCAGGUGUGGACACUGCGGCACAGCAGUUAACACUGCUAGGAUGCUUGCAUCCAUAUUAGAGUGAAUGAAACUGAAUCCCACCUCUGCUUCAGAUCCAACUUUUUAUUACUGUGCACCUUGGAAGGGAGUGGGUAAUGACUCAAGUAAUUGAGCACCUGUCACCCACAUGGGAGACCUGGGUGGAGUUCUUAGUUCCUGGCUUCUCCCUGGCCUUGUCCCAGCUGUUGCAGCCAUUUGGAAAAUGAAUCCGAGAAUGAAAGGUCUCUCUCUUACUCUGCCUUUUAGAUAAAUAAACUUUAAUGAGACACCGUGGAGAACAGAUAAAUGGUCUUGAAGAAAUAUAUCGAAUCAUACUAACACAUGAACCUGUGUGCAAUGGGCAGUACAGAACAAAAACAGAUUCAUGAAGUGAACUAACCUGAAGCAACACUGUAGGAGUCUCAUCCAACAGAAGUACUGUCGGAGAAAUCUGAUAGUUAUAUGACAAGCAGGACUUUGAUUUGGCAUCUGACUAACUUCUGCAAUAAAAUGAAUUUGAAGAGGUCUAAAAACUGGUUUAGUGACCUUGCUUGGAAAGUUACAAACCACAACAGCACUGUAAGCCUUUCUCCAUUUCCUGUUAACUCUUCAGCCCUUGUUGUUCUUGUAUUUAUAGUACCGAGGAGCACAUCGGUGCAGGCCCAACGAAUGUUUUCAACCUACUAAAAAGCAUAUACCCUAAUCUAGUCACAAGAUAUGACUAAUCUUUGGAUGGAUGAGUUAACUAAUUCAUCACAAAAAGUUCCAAAUGUCAGCAAGCAGGGCUGAUUCUAUCCCAGAGAAGUUCAGUGCUUUAUUAACACCGUUUUCUUUCUUGGAUGAUCAUCCAUAGCUCUUGUGAUGUCAGUUUGAUGAUUCCAAUUUAGAAUAUAAAUUGAUGUGAAGUCACAGAUUAUACUGGUUUAGAAGUUACAAGAAACUAAGAUGUCAUCUGGAUGGUCUCAUUUUACAAAUGAAGAAGGCAGAUUGUAGAGAAGAACCAUCUUUCCCCGGAAGCUUCAGACUCAUAAAUAUGUACCAUGAUAUUUUUGACUUUCAGUUCAAUUAUUUCCCUGAUCCUGGUUCUUUACGUGCUAUUCUAUUUUAAUAAUGUCCCCCACUGUCAAUCUUCAAUGUGAAUAUGUUUUUAUGUGGUACUUACGGUUAUCAUUAAAACAAAGCCCAGAUCCAUAUGUGUCAUAUAUAUAUACAAAAUCAUAUAUAUGUACAUUAUGUUCUAGAUUCUAUAGGUUUCUAUAUUAUAGUUUUUAAAUUUAUUUUUAUUCCAUAAUUGGCUCAUAUUAUCAAAUAAGAUUGAAAGUUUCAUUUUCUAAAUAGGUAUAACAUUUUAAACAAAUACAGUGGUUCUAAGGAAAUGUGGUGUCUUUU
ensembl:lncRNA